AGUUUUUUGUUUCGGAAACAUUGGACUUUGAAAGUCCCCAACAGAGGUUCGACCCCCCUAAAAACUU
rnacentral:tRNA from 1 species